CCUACGGGAGGCUGCAGUGGGGAAUAUUGGACAAUGGGCGAAAGCCUGAUCCAGCCAUGCCGCGUGUGUGAAGAAGGCCUUCGGGUUGUAAAGCACUUUCAGUGGGGAAGAAAGCCUUGGGGCUAAUACCCUCGAGGAAGGACAUCACCCACAGAAGAAGCACCGGCUAACUCCGUGCCAGCAGCCGCGGUAAUACGGAGGGUGCGAGCGUUAAUCGGAAUUACUGGGCGUAAAGCGCGCGUAGGCGGUCUGAUAAGCCGGUUGUGAAAGCCCCGGGGUCAACCUGGGAACGGCAUCCGGAACUGUCAGGCUAGAGUGCAGGAGAGGAAGGUAGAAUUCCCGGUGUAGCGGUGAAAUGCGUAGAGAUCGGGAGGAAUACCAGUGGCGAAGGCGGCCUUCUGGACUGACACUGACGCUGAGGUGCGAAAGCGUGGGUAGCAAACAGGAUUAGAUACCCGAGUAGUC
rnacentral:rRNA from 1 species